CAUGUCUGCUGUCUGGUUAAAGCUCAUAACCAUCCUUUGUCUCUUCUCCACAGCCCUGAGUGGCCCAGAGAGCGGAGGAGUAGUAUGGACAGAUGUUGGAGGAUCCGUCACUAUCCAGAGAUAUUGCUUCAGAUCAAGAGUCCCUGAGUCUGGAGAAAGGUCUCAGCCAGGAUGAGAUUCUAAAUAAAGAUAGAGACUCAGAAAAAAUUACUAUCGCUGAAGGAUUCAGAGGCAGGCUUCAGUUAGAUGGAGAAUUCCCCAAUCUGAACAUUUUCAUCAGAAACCUGACCACUGAUGAUAUGGGGCCGUACUGGUGCGUCUACAAAAAGUACGAUACUACAGCCAGUCAAAUAAAAACAGUGAAAGGCAAAGGGUCUGUGCUCCUGGUGGUGAGAGACCAGGAACGUAUGGCAGUGAUUGGAGAUGCUUCUG